rnacentral:rRNA from 1 species
CCUACGGGCGGCAGCAGUGAGGAAUAUUGGUCAAUGGACGAGAGUCUGAACCAGCCAAGUAGCGUGAAGGAUGACUGCCCUAUGGGUUGUAAACUUCUUUUAUAAAGGAAUAAAACGAGGCACGUGUGCCUUUUUGCAUGUACUUUAUGAAUAAGGAUCGGCUAACUCCGUGCCAGCAGCCGCGGUAAUACGGAGGAUCCGAGCGUUAUCCGGAUUUAUUGGGUUUAAAGGGAGCGUAGAUGGGUUGUUAAGUCAGUUGUGAAAGUUUGCGGCUCAACCGUAAAAUUGCAAUUGAUACUGGCAGUCUAGAGUACAGUUGAGGUAGGCGGAAUUCGUGGUGUAGCGGUGAAAUGCUUAGAUAUCACGAAGAACCCCGAUUGCGAAGGCAGCUUACUAAACUGUGACUGACAUUGAUGCUCGAAAGUGUGGGUAUCAAACAGGAUUAGAUACCCUGGUAGUC